UUUGACGAUGAUGACAAGAUCGUUGGGGGCUACACCUGUCAGAAGAAUUCUCUCCCCUACCAGGUGUCCCUGAAUUCUGGCUACCACUUCUGCGGUGGCUCCCUCAUCAACGAACAGUGGGUGGUGUCAGCAGCUCACUGCUACAAGUCCCGCAUCCAGGUGAGACUGGGAGAGCACAACAUCGAAGUCCUGGAGGGGAAUGAGCAGUUCAUCAAUGC
rnacentral:lncRNA from 1 species